GACGAACGCUGGCGGCGUGCUUAACACAUGCAAGUCGAACGAAGUGGCGAACGGGUGAGUAACGCGUAAUCAACCUGCCCUUCAGAGGGGGACAACAGUUGGAAACGACUGCUAAUACCGCAUACGGAAGGAGGGGAUUGCGUCUGAUUCGCAAGUUGGAGGGGUAACGGCCCAACAAGGCGAUGAUAAGUAGCCGGUCUGAGAGGAUGAACGGCCACAUUGGGACUGAGGCACGGCCCAGACUCCUACGGGAGGCAGCAGUGGGGAAGCUUCCGCAAUGGACGAAAGUCUUACGGAGCAACGCCGCGUGAGUGAUGACGGCCUUCGGGUUGUAAAGCUCUGUUAAUCGGGACGCGGUACCGGAAUAGAAAGCCACGGCUAACUACGUGCCAGCCGCCGCGGUAAUAC
rnacentral:rRNA from 1 species